rnacentral:lncRNA from 1 species
AUACUGUGUGGCCUGCAGGUGUGUGAACAUGCCAGGACAUGCACAUGUCAAAUGCACAUGUGGCGAUCAGAACACAGCUUCAGAUGUCAUCCUCUUGCCUCUGCCUCACGUCUGGAGUGUUCUGCUUCAUCUAGCUUUUAUGUGGGUUCUGGGGAUCCAAACUCUGGUCCUUAUACUUGCACUGCAGGCACUUUACCUACUAAGCCAUCCUCCCAGCGCUAUGAGAAGUAAUUUUUAAAAAUAUUUAUAUGUGCAUCUGUGUGUGCAUGUGUGAGGAGUGGGUGUAGGGGUGAAUGCACACCAUCACAGCACGUGUGUAAAGAACAGAGAACAACGGGUAGGAGCUGGUUCUCUCCUUCAACCAUGUGGCUUCUAGGGCUUGAACUCAGGUCGUUGGUCUUGGUGGCAAGCGUCUUUACCCCCUGAGCCAUCUCUCUGACCCCAUAAAAAGUAAUUUAUAUAAUAUGCUUAAAAGAAUGAGCCAGUACUGUAUUAAUAAGCAGUCGAUUAUUAAAUUAGCAUUCUACCAUUUAUUAUUUACUAUCGAUCCAUUCUUUCAUCAUGGAGACUUCUAUUCCAGGACCUAGAAAUGGGCGGGGAGAGGGCAGGCAUGGUAGUAUAUAUCUGUAACCCUAGCGCUAGGGAGGUGGGGGCAGGAGUUCCAGGCCAACCUGUGUUACCCAGAGGAAUUCUGCCUUACUCUUCACCCUAAAGCAUGAACAGAAAGGAGCAGCCGCCUUCUAGCCUUCUGUGCCCUCAUGCACAGUCUCCGGUUUCCUUAGGGUGCAAAUGCAUCCAUCCAAGGUCCUUGUCUCCUUCUAUCCCUUCUGGUGUUGCUGUAAGCCCUCAGAUUUCUUCUCUCCAGUCUUAUGGAGUCAUCAGGCAGGAAAGGUCAAGCUCUAGGAUGGGGAACGGACGAGAGACCCUCCAAAGGCACUGCCCCUUUGAUUUCCAUGCCCCUCAGCCUCAGUUUUGCAUUUUUCCUUCCUGACUAAGGGCCAACUUCUCAUCUGCCCCAAGCUAGUCUGAGUCAGGGAGUGAAGUGUGAUAGGGGGACAGGAAGUCUGACACUGCAUUCCUGCACCCCUCAGGCUCAGGUCCGUCCUCGAUGUGGACGCCUCGUGGCCUUCAGCUCUGGGGGUGAGAAUCCCCAUGGCGUAUGGGCUGUGACUCGGGGACGGCGUUGUGCCCUAGCUCUGUGGCACACCUGGGCACCUGAGCACAGGGAGC